GACGAACGCUGGCGGCGUGCUUAACACAUGCAAGUCGAACGGAAAGGCCCUGCUUUUUUGGGGUUCUCGAGUGGCGAACGGGUGUGUAACACGUGUGUAACCUGCCCUUUACUUUGGGAUAACUUCAGGAAACUGGGUCUAAUACCGGAUAGGAGCUCCUGCUGCAUGGUGGGGGUUGGAAAGUUUCGGCGGUUGGGGAUGGACUCGCGGCUUAUCAGCUUGUUUGUGGGGUAGUGGCUUACCAAGGCUUUGACGGGUAGCCGGCCUGUGAGGGUUACCGGCGAAAUGGGGACUGAGAUACGGCACAGAAUGCAACGGGAGGAAGCAGUGGGGAAUAGUGAAAAAUGGGAGGAAGCCUGAUGCAGAAAAGCAGCGAGCGGGAUGAAGGCAUACGGGUUGUAAAACGAUUUAGAAGGAGAAGAAGAGUGAGUGACGGUAAUGGGUAAAGAAGCACCGGCUAACUACGUG
rnacentral:rRNA from 1 species